CUAAGCUAUCAGUGAUUCCAGUGAGGAGAGGUUACUGGGGUAACAAGAUUGGGAAGCCACACACUGUGCCUUGCAAGGUUACAGGGAAAUGUGGGUCUGUUACUGUGAGGAUGGUGCCUGCUCCUCGUGGUGCUGGUAUUGUUGCUGCUCGUGUCCCUAAGAAGGUUCUUCAGUUUGCUGGUAUUGAAGAUGUCUUCACAUCUUCUCGUGGAUCCACCAAAACCCUUGGAAACUUCGUUAAGGUUUGAUCUUUUAACAGAUCUUGCAAAUAUUAUUAUUGCUAAUACUUAAUUAUGUGAUGAUUCUUUUACAUGUAUCUUACUAUAGCAUAAGAAUUGACGCGUAUAUCAUUAUAAUUGAACAAAAAAGUUUAAUUGUCUAUACAUUUCGUUUAAAAUAGCUACUAUGGAACUAAAUAGAACAUUUGUAAAUAUCCAUGAGUUAUUAUGUUGAUAUAAAAUGAUCUUCCUGUAGGGAAGUUAUAUCUGUAUCAAUAUUUGGCUACAAAGUUCCCAAAUUUCAGAAAAAUUGCUCUGAAACUUAGUAGAUUAUUACAGAGAUAGUAACAAUUGUUAGCCUUAUAGUUCCAAAUCUUGUCAUUGUUCAGAGCGAGAUUGUUUAGUUUAGUUCUGAAAGGGUUGAUGUAUUAAGGGGUCGUUUGGUGUGACAGAAAAAAAUAUGUUGUGAUUGGAUAGAAUUUUUGUAUUUUGUUUGGUUGCCGUGCCAUUUAUAUCAUAGUGAUGUUAUCCCAUCUACAUGUUAGCUAACCAUAGAUAACUAAUUCUGGGAUAACUUGUCCCAACCAAACGACCCUUAGGGUAUUGGUUAAAAUGGGACAGUGUGUUGUGAUUGAAUACAGUGUUGAGCAGGUCAAAUUGUGGGAUAGGAGCUGUAUCAUUAUAUCAAUUCUUACCGUUUACUGCAAUACUAGUGCUGCAAUGUGGGAUAAGCACUUUGUUCUAUAAAAUUACUCUUAUGUGUAGAGGGUGAUUGGAUUGGGUUAUUGCAAGUGUCGAUCCAAACACCAUCUUAUACUUGGUUUAAAUGAGCGGACUGCAAUGUAACUACACUUUUUGCUUUUACCAGCUACUAAUUUUAUCUAAAACAGGGUUGAUGAUAUCUGAAUAGCAUAAAAAGCAUUAGGUUUCAUCGUGUUUUGAGUCUGAUACCACUCAUAAUGUAUGCAGGCGACAUUUGAUUGUUUAAUGAAGACCUACGGGUUCCUGACCCCAGAUUUCUGGAAAGAGACUCGCUUCACCAAAUCUCCAUUCCAAGAGUACUUUGAUAUCUUGGCAAAACCUGCCAAUAAGGUUAUUGUCUACGCCACCGAAGAGGCAGCACCUGAGAGGGUUGAGGCUUGAUUCGUUAGAUGUUAUGUGCUCUGUUGUUUUGUUCUAGUAGUUUUCUUUAUUAUGAAAUGUUAGUAUUCUAAAUUUUGACUUCUGUUCUUGAGGGAUAUUUUC
rnacentral:lncRNA from 1 species